rnacentral:rRNA from 1 species
GAUGAACGCUAGCGGCAGGCUUAAUACAUGCGAGUCGAGGGGCAGCAUGACUGUAGCAAUACAGUUGAUGGCGACCGGCAAACGGGUGCGGAACACGUACAGAACCUUCCUUCGAGCGGGGAAUAGCCCAGAGAAAUUUGGAUUAAUACCCCAUAGUAUUACGGAGUGGCAUCACUUGUAAUUAAAGAUUUAUCACUUGAAGAUGGCUGUGCGGCUGAUUAGGUAGUUGGCGGGGUAACGGCCCACCAAGCCUGCGAUCAGUAACUGGUGUGAGAGCACGACCAGUCAAACGGGCACUGAGAAACGGGCCCGACUCCUACGGGAGGCAGCAGUAAGGAAUAUUGGUCAAUGGACGAAAGUCUGAACCAGCCAUGCCGCGUGGAGGAUGAAGGUCCUCUGGAUUGUAAACUUCUUUUAUAUGGGACGAAAAAGGGUCUUUCUAGAUCAACUGACGGUACCAUAUGAAUAAGCACCGGCUAACUCCGUGCCAGCAGCCGCAGUAAGAC